rnacentral:snRNA from 1 species
ACACUUACCUGCCAGGGGAGAUACCAUGAUCACAAAGGUGGUUUUCCCUGGGCGAGGCUUAUCCAUUGCACUCUGGAUGUGCUGACCCCUGCGAUUUCCCCAAAUGUGGGAAACUCGACUGCAUAAUUUGUGGUAGUGGGGGACUGCAUUCGCGCUUUCCCCUG